GACGAACGCUGGCGGCGUGCCUAAUACAUGCAAGUCGAGCGAAGUUUUUCUGGUGCUUGCACCGGAAAAACUUAGCGGCGAACGGGUGAGUAACACGUAAAGAACCUGCCUCAUAGACUGGGACAACUAUUAGAAACGAUAGCUAAUACCGGAUAAUAGCAUUAACUGCAUGGUUGAUGUUUAAAAGUUGGUUUUGCUAACACUAUGAGAUGGCUUUGCGGUGCAUUAGCUAGUUGGUGGGGUAAAGGCCUACCAAGGCGACGAUGCAUAGCCGACCUGAGAGGGUGAUCGGCCACACUGGGACUGAGACACGGCCCAGACUCCUACGGGAGGCAGCAGUAGGGAAUCUUCCGCAAUGGGCGAAAGCCUGACGGAGCAACGCCGCGUGAGUGAAGAAGGAUUUCGGUUCGUAAAGCUCUGUUGUUAGGGAAGAAUGAUUGUGUAGUAACUAUACACAGUAGAGACGGUACCUAACCAGAAAGCCACGGCUAACUACGUG
rnacentral:rRNA from 1 species